rnacentral:rRNA from 1 species
GAUGAACGCUGGCGGCGUGCCUAAUACAUGCAAGUCGAACUUGAUUUUCGGAUUGAGUGGCGAACGGGUGAGUAAGACAUAGGUAACCUGGCUUAUAGAGGGGGAUAACCACUGGAAACGGUGGAUAAUACCGCAUGAAUAUAUCGAAGGCAUCUUGGAUAUAUAAAAGGAGCUAAGGCUUCGCUAUAAGAUGGGCUUAUGACGCAUUAGCUAGUUGGUGAGGUAAUGGCUCACCAAGGCGACGAUCAGUAGCCGGACUGAGAGGUUGAACGGCCACAUUGGGACUGAGAUACGGCCCAGACUCCUACGGGAGGCAGCAGUGGGGAAUAUUGGGCAAUGGGCGCAAGCCUGACCCAGCAACGCCGCGUGAAGGAAGAAGGCUUUCGGGUUGUAAACUUCUUUGACCAGGGAAGAAACAAAUGACGGUACCUGGAAAACAAGCCACGGCUAACUACGUGCCAGCAGCCGCCGUAAAAC